ensembl:lncRNA
GAGAGAGAGAGAGAGAGGGUUAGAGAAAGAGAGAGAGAGGGUUAGAGAAAGAGAAAGAGAGACAGAGAGGGUUAGAGAGAGAGAGAGAAAGGUAGAGUAAGAGAGGGUUAGAGAGAGAUAGAGAGAGAGAAAGAGAGAGAGAGAAUUUAAUUGGGAGAGGUAGAGUAAGAGAGAGAGGGAGAGAGAGUGAGAGGUAGAGUAAGAGAGAGAGAGAGGGUUACAGAAAGAGGGUUAGAGAGAGAGGGUAGAGAGAGAGAGAGAGAGAGAGAGAGGGGAGGGGUUAGAGAAAGAGGGUUAGAGAGAGAGGGUUAGAGAGAGAGAGGGUUAGAGAGAGAGGGUUAGAGAGAGAGAGAGAGGGGGGGUUAGAGAAAGAGGGUUAGAGAGAGAAUGAGAGAGAGAAAGAGGGUUAGAGAGAGGGUUAGAGAAAGAGAGGGAGAGAGAGGGUUAGAGAGAGAGGGUUAGAGAGAGAGAGUGGGGGGGUUAGAGAAAGAGGGUUAGAGAGAGAGAGGGUUAGAGAGAGAGGGUUAGAGAGAGAGAGAGAGAGAGAGAGGGUUAGAGAAAGAGGGUUAGAGAGAGAAUGAGAGAGAGAAAGAGGGUUAGAGAGAGGGUUAGAGAAAGAGAGGGUUAGAAGGAGAGAGGGUUAGAGAGAGAGGGUUAGAGAGAGAGGGUUAGAGAGAGGGUUAGAGAGAGGGUUAGAGAGAGAAAGAGGUAGAGUAAGAGAGGGUUAGAGCGAGCAAGAGAGAGAGGGUUAGAGAGAGAGAGAGGGUUAGAGAGAGGGUUGGAGAGAGAGAGAGAGAGGGUUAGAGAAAGAGAGAGAGAGGGUUAGAGAAAGAGAAAGAGAGACAGAGAGGGUUAGAGAGAGAGAAAGAGAGAGAGAUAAUUUAAUUGGGAGAGGUAGAGUAAGAGAGAGAGGGAGAGAGAGGUAGAGUAAGAGAGAGAGGGAGAGAGAGGUAGAGUAAGAGAGAGAGAGGGUUAGAGAGAGAGGGUUAGAGAGAGAGGGUUAGAGAGAGAGAGAGAGAGAGAGAGAGAGAGAGAGAG